GAAAGAUGAGAAACAUUCGAUGAAAAUAAUGAUACACUUUGCAUCAUGUGCAUUUGACGCCACGCUGUGCGGCCGUUUGUUUGGGCGAUUUUGACACAUCUUGGCAACACUUCUUCCAGGCAGAGUGUUCAGAAUACUGCUGCUUUGUGCUUCUCUUCAGUUAAAUUGGUGUAAUUUGUAAUAAAAAUUCACUAAAACUUGGUUCCGUAGGCUGAGGAAUAGGAUGUAAACAACCACCAAAUUUCAACUGCUGUGGAUAGGACAACGUUAGGAAAAAAGGAGCCAAAAACGCGCUGGAAAUAAUGGUAGCAUCAAGAAUGGAUAUAUAUCACCGUCCAAGGAAGAGUACAGGCGAGCAUUAUCCGAGAAAACUGCCCUGCGCGCUCGUAUGCCACAGCGCAAUCCCCAGCAAAAUUGGGAAAGUCGCAGAUGAGAGAUGAGACAACAGAUCCUAUCCUGAUGGAUAUGAAACUUAUUGAUCGAAGAACUGCUUAAGAACGUGGCAGUUUCAUUCCUACAAAUGCAAUGGAAACCCUUCCAACCACACGGAAGCUGAUUGUAAGAUAAAAGCGCUACUUCCAAGGAAAAAUGAACGAUGCAGCGACAAAAGCUGUUGCCGCCAGUGGAAGGUCAGCGCAGCGGUAGCAGUAGCUACACCAUUUCAGAAUGCGAAUACUGGCACGCGAAUCAAUGGCUGUAAAUCACUUAGCAACGGAUGAUUAUUCUGGAGCUCUUCAAGGAGGAACUCGCCAGGACGAGCCAUGGUAGGGUUGAUGUCGAUACCAUCUUUCCCUAGAAUGGUCUUGUUUGGAAGACUUGGUCUUGACAAAUCUUGGAGAAUAGUAUUUGGAGAAGAGAUAUCCAUCGUGGCCUUGGAGAACUGUGUGAUGAAUAAGAAGACAUCCUGAUAGUGGCAAGGACCGUCCGGAUAUGAUGCUUGUGGCACAUAUUGUAGGGUACUGAACAUAUGAACAAUCAGGAUGGUGGCCCACCAGGUGACAGGAGAUGCAGAGUUUGCUAAAUCAGAUGAAAAGGACCUUUUCGGAGAUCUGGCGCACGAUCAAAGCGAUAACAGCUUUCAAUUCUAUAUGGAGUAUCUACUUGUUACCACCAAAGCUAUUUUAAUUAUUUAAGAUUAUCACAUGCUUACAGGCUUGAACUGCAAAGUUAACUUUACGUCGAGAUGUCUCAAUUGCAAGAAUAGAGUAUGCCUGUUAUCGUAAUUAGAUUUCGAUUCGAGUCAAGAAAAUGAACACCAAAGUGAUGUUCACUUCACUUCCGUAAAAAUCAACUCAAAAGCUCCAAGUCCACGUCGAAAUGGCUCGAAUGCAAGAAUAGAAUAUGGCUGAAUGUAGAAAAGAUUGUGUUUCUCCUUGAAUGUAAACACGUACAUUGGGGAACUAACCGACUUUCUUUUAGUAAUUCUUUACGGAUUGUUCUACGCCAAUCGCUCUUCUUCUUCGCCAGUUAUUUUUUGAAACAUUUUUGUUGUUUUAGUAGGAAAAGAAAAUCGCGAAGAAAUAUAAACCAAAGGAAAAGAACAUUUUGUACAAGAAUAAUCAAGCAUGGUGUAAUGAUGCGUUAGCCGAACUCAUUCACGUGAAAUCCGGCCUUUCACUAACGAGCACUACCCUUCCGACCAUACCCAAUCGCACGGCCGCUCAGUUCCUAUCCGACCAGAUUUCUGAAGCGCGUGUAUCUAAUGUAAUGUUUGUAAGACCUGCUCGGUCGAGAUGUGCGCGUACAAAAGCAAACGUCGUUAAUGCGCCCUGGUCCAAGGCGAGUCUCCGCCUGCACCUCGGUCGGUGAUGCACGGUAAAGGGUUGGCACAGCCCUCAUUGAAACUGUUGGCGGUUGUACGAAAGUAUUCAUCACCCUUAGCUAACGCUGCUUUACUUUUUGCGUGUCCAACUCUUUCCAUCGCUUUCCCUUCAUCGCCCCGUCUUCCACAGACCACCGCCCACCGGCACCGGCAUGCUAACGACAAUGACGGUCGACGUGUCGUAAUUGAAAUUCAAAAUGCAAUUCAUAAUUAAAAUAUGCGGCCCGGCUCUCUCCGACACGGUUGCGUGGCAAUCUUGCUCCACUGCUCUCAGAAGGGUGGGGUUCAGAUUUCACCACCAUCAAUGGUGGAGCACGGUGGUACAGCACGCUGUGCACAAAUUGUCGCUAGCGGAAAGGAAGCUAGCCAACAUCAGCAGCAGAGGAAGCGCCAACGGAUGAGGUGAGCUUUUCCUUUUGGUUUUAUCCUUUCACUCACACAAAAGAGAGAAGAAGAGGGAAAAAUCGAGCCACUGCAAUCAAGCGGAUUGAGCGGAACAAACCACCAGGAGCGGGAGAGAGAGAGAGAAAGAGCGUAAAGCAGAAAUCCUUGGCAGAAAGAUAAACAACGAAACAAGAUCAUGCCGUCCGUCCGUGCCGGUGUUUCGGUCGUUGGUUUAGUUAUCCUUAUUCUGCUCCUCCCCUCCGCUUUCCCUACAACCCAAGGAGUUAAUUCAUCUUCGUUGCUCGUUCAUUUUGCGAGCUUUUCACCAGUUUGCUUCCUGUCACCUCUCCCCCCCUCCCUUCAUACAUCCCAUUUCCCUAGGGGAUUCGCCAAAGGCUCGUUUGGUGUGUGUUUGUGUGCUUGUAGUCUCCAAAGCAAAGCGUGCGUCUCGGUCGGCACAGCUUAUCUUUUAUUCAUCUCCGUUGCACCUUUUCUCGGUCGAGUGACGCUGUUUGGGAUCAGACGCUCAUGCACCCUCCCCUCUCUCCCUUACAAAUACAGCCAAGCAUACACAUACACACAUACGCAAGCACAUGUGAUGUUCUUUUCAGGAUGCGCAUCCUUUACUUUGCAAUAUACAAAGAAGCGUUUGGCUUUCAAUAUUUGCCCGAUACACGUAUACUAUACAGAGCCAGGAAGCCACCUCACUUGAUUUGCUUACCAGCAGGUUCUCUGUGUGUGUGUUUUUGUGUUCUUUUUCCUUGCAUCUCUCCAUUUUGCCAGCAGACAUAAUUUUCUUUCCUUAAGCACCUUGCUUCAUUCGCUAAGCUUUUCCAACGGUAUAAUCUCGUUCGCUCACCCCUCCAUUUCUCCCAGUUUUUCUCACUUUCUUUUAAGAUAUCCUUGAAGGAUGGCAACAAAAAAAAAACUCUAAUAUAUACCAACAUUAUUCACGCUCAAGGGCCGCGUGUCGCAAAAGCAAAAAUUCGUUUAAAGACGCUUGCUCUCCAGCAUAAGUCACACCUUUCAAGCGUUGAGGUAGCUGCUCUGCUGCUGGACAAUUAUUCAAAGGGAUCGUUAUAUGUAUUUUUUUUCUUCUUUUGCUGUCCUCUCUUCUCUUUAAUGUCGUCGACCUCUUUGCGGGAGCUUCUCUUUGGGGAGAUGACUGUGUCUGGGCUGCCUAAAUUGAGACGGGGAAGAAAAAUGGAUUUCGCGUCCAAGCGACCCUCGGGAAGCAACCAUCGUUAUCCGGUGUGGAAAGUGAGUGGUUCGGUCUUUCACUACAGGCAUCUUAUUGUUGAUUCGGCGUUUUAUAUAUAGGAGUUUGCUUGACUUAUUCAUGCCACGGAACCGGACAGUCAGUCGCUGCUAUGAUGGACCGGAUGGGAAUUGAACCCGGUUUGGCCUUGUACGAAUGGGUGCCUUCAGAAGGGUAGAUCCCGUAGAGCCGGUGUAAUUAUAUAUUUAGUUAGGGUUUAGUGCAUGUUCAAAAAGAUUGAAAAUAGACAAAAAAGAUAUUUUAGUUUUUCCUAGAUAAGAUAUCUUCAGAAUCGACAAACAAUAUUUCAAUCCAUGACUUCAGUAUUGAUCGGAUCGUCAACUAUCGAUCGGUAUAUCGAUCGCCCUUUUUGCAGAAACAAUUGGAGUAAAAGCGGUCUAAUUCCAUUCGUUAUGUCGACUGUUAACUCAGUUCAUAAUCUACGACCAUAAUUGUGACCAUAAGAGACUUUCCUUGCUCGACAGGCACACCACGGUUGCGAAGGAUAUACGCUCAUCAGAAGUUGUUUGUCCAAGCACAUCGACUCGUGGGAGCUACUUUUUUCGUACUGUAGAUAUGACAUCCCACAUCCUUAUGGUCGUGAUGGUAGCCAAAAUUGAUGGGCUUUUGUUUUCCAGGAACCGGAACAUCCUCGAGCAUUGUGGUUUGCGAAUGUUGCACUCAGUGGAUCUGGAGCCGUAGUGUCAGCCAAGCCGUUGACCGCGUCCGAGCCAUUGCGAAUGAGGCUGCAAAUUCCCGACGGCAUGUUUACCUAAUCCCGUUCGAGGUGACGAAGUGGGACGUGCUGGAAUUGUGGCACAUACUUUACUUGUUUUGUGUUUGUUGUAUCUUCGACGUGGCAAUGCCAAUGCAAUUAUUUAUCCACGCCUAACGCAAGGGGAAAUUAAUCCUUUUCUAACAUCAAACAAUGGAAAUAAGGGAACAUUAACAUUGCUCACGAAUGAGAGGAGUACGGCAGAUAAGAGCAAUAAUGACAGCACCUUUCCUCGGGCAGAGCAGUAAACCACCCCUACCUCUAGCUAAAGGGGUGCAAAAAUUCAAUAACACACCUAAUCCGAGCGCUGAUGGAAGGCGGCGUUAAUGUGACGUGUGCACAUUUCCGGAAGAAGAUGCUUGACAAAAGCGUUCCCGUGUCUUCGGUGUGUCCUUCGGCCGGAAGGAUGUCCACCGGCAAACCGGUGUGUGUGUGCUUUCGGUGACAUUCAUUACCGGAGAUGUUUGGGGAUUUGGCCAGGAAAUUAGCGCUCCCGAAGUGCACUUGAACAGCACUCCUGGCUGGCGAAGGGUGGCCCGCGUGUGCACAUUUCUUCGACCGACCGCACAUCCUGUAGCACAGAACCCGGUGCCAGGAAGCGAGCCGCUCGCUCGAACCAUCCAUUUGCGGUGUGCCCUGAUGUUUGAUGAUGAUAUCAUUAGAUAAAGAGGGCCGAGACCGAGGUUGUGCGCCACUUGGUCGAGAUGGUGCCGGAUGUCCUUUUGCAGGGGGGGAUGCCGUUUCUCGGUCAACUUGUUUGCGCGUACGCCAUGCUUAGCGUCGCAAUUGCACACGCAGACACAGAUCCUUCAUGCAUCGUUUUCGGGGCAGGGUGCGUUACUUGUUUGGUUAGCAAAUUUUGCCCCUAAUUAAGGUGCCCAUUUGCUAAGAAGUUUCAGCACACAAGCACACAAUCAACUACGGGUAGUACGGGUGUGUGCCGUUGCGUGGAUGGUGCUGCGAUCUCGUUGCGCAUCAACAGCACACGCCCUGUGUCGUUAGCAUGCUUGGAUAAGAAAGUGCAACCGGACUCCUUUCCUACCGCGACCGCAGCGCGUGAGCCAAAAUCGUAGUUCGUUCACUGCAGUGGGCCUACGCCAGGCAUCGACAAACACCGCAGCCUUCAGAUGCUGUACGGAGCAAAGGCUUCCCUUUUUCGCUGUCUCUAACAAGCAGGACAGGGAGGGAGAAAAGAAAAGACACAAAAACUAGAAGCAAUAGAACACGCCAAACGGGAGUGGAAUUUUCAUUAAAUUUCUGUUGCUUGUUCGGUGUCAUGUUGUGCCCCCCCCGUGCCCGACCGUCACCCGACUGCUGGUAACUGCUUUUUGUCGUCACAACAGGGUCUCGGCCCCUGGCGCGAACCUAAUAAUGCGUGCGCUCAGCCAAAAGGAACGUACACGAAAGGUGCAUUCGCUGCAUGAAGAAUGUCGCCACAGUUUGAAUGUUCUGGCAAAGAUCAUACUGACUGAGAGAGAGGAAGAGAGAGAGAGAGAGAGAGAGAGAGAGAGAGAGAGAGAGAGAGAUAGAGAGAGAAGGGAAAGAGGAGAUAGUAAGAAAAACGAAUCGCUAGCUCUUGGCGUUCCUGGUGGAUCCUAUGGUAAGGAUGCAGAUUGUAGGUAAAAACGUGCUCACGCGAUGUUGUACACUGUUUCGCGUAUCGCGUGGUUGAUUGUAGGCAAAUAGGGAUGAUAAGAGUGAUGAGAAAUUGAGCGAUUGAUUGAGCGAUGGAACAUUAACUUACCCCUGAUUUUGUACAAUUUCUUUCCACUUCAGUUGGGCGCUUCAUUUGUGGAGCGUUGUUCUCUAUGUUCUUGAAGUUAAUUGAACUUGUGUGUAAUGUUUUCCAUUGAACGGUUCAUCAAACAAUACAUAAAUCUCGUAGAGUACGCUUUAAAUAAAAAAGUUUAACUCUACAAUAACGCAAGGAAUAGGAGGUAAAGUAAAUAGUUGCAUUACAUGGCUUUAUUGUUAUUAUUUAUUUCAUAUUGUCAGCCACAUAGGGUUUUGCAAAAAAUAAAUCUAACUUGGCAAGAAGGAAUUAUUAAUGAUAGAGACAAGGAAUCGGAAAGGCAAAAGCAAAAACUGGACAAGGGAACGUGGUAGUCAAACAUAUCGUGAACUUCAUUAGAUCUGGCGCAGGUUCUCCAAAAACGGAUCCAUCUGACCAAAGGCAGAGCGACGGGAGGGGAUGAAAAUGGGAGGUCUGUCGAGGAGACGACGAGCAGGAACGUAAAUAGACCUGAGGAGCCAUCUUCGAGGUAAGGAGAUUGGGGAUGAAGUAUGACUGCACUUGUUAAGGUCGGGAUUUGAUUUCCAUCAAGCCGAACAUACGACAGAGCGGAGAGAAUACGAGGGAACAGGUGCAUUAUAUUCGUGGAGAAAUCUACGUAUUCGCGUAAACUUCAUCUACAUUCUUUCUAGUCUCUGCAUAGCGGCUCCUCCAGCUGGGGUCCACACAACACUAGCAUAAUCCAACAUAGAUCGAACCCAGCACAGAGGCCAUACGAGUAAUGCCUUCCAGCACUUUGUUCGCUUUAUCAACGACAUGGUUGCUCUGGUCGUUAAAUGUGAGAGUAUCAUCGAGCAGAACACCAAGGUCGCUGAUUGAAGACUCUCUCAUUAUAUGGAUUUGACAUAAAAAGUAGUAAUUUUUUUGGUAAGAAGACCAAAAAAGACAACACAACAUUGAGGCGGACAAAACACUUACUCAUUAGACGAGCCUGAAAAGGACGAGCGACGGUUUGCAAUAAACGAACUUAACCUGCUGAAUUUGUAUCUUAAAUUUCUUGAUCAAUUUAUUUACACAUAAGCUAGCUUG